rnacentral:rRNA from 1 species
GCAAGUCGUACGAGAAAUCUUCUGCUUGCAGAAGAGAGUAAAGUGGCGCACGGGUGAGUAACGCGUGGGUAAUCUACCUCCGAAUCGGGGAUAACAUUGCGAAAGCGAUGCUAAUACCGGAUAAUAUCCUUUGGGUUUCGAUCCUUUGGAUCAAAGGUGGCCUCUAGAUCUAAGCUAUUGUUUGGAGAUGAGCCCGCGUACCAUUAGCUUGUUGGUGGGGUAAUGGCCUACCAAGGCAGCGAUGGGUAGCUGGUCUGAGAGGAUGAUC